CUGAUCCCAUCCCGAACUCAGCAGUGAAACGAUGUAUCGCCGAUGGUAGUGUGGGGUUUCCCCAUGUGAGAGUAGGUCAUCGUCAAGAUU
rnacentral:rRNA from 1 species